rnacentral:rRNA from 1 species
AUGGAGCGUGCAGGGGAAGAAGAUGACACAGGGAGUGGAAGCAGGAGGAGGAGCAGGAGCAGGGGUGGAUCAGAUGCAACGUCGACCAUGAGCGACGGCGGCACCACGGCGGUCAAGCAGCACCAGGCUCUGAGGCUCGUGGAGGACCUCUCCCUCCCUUCGGUGCAGGUGGUGGUGAUGAGCGCCAACAUGGGCUGCUCCCACUGCCGACAGCGGGUCACCAAGGUCGUCACCAAGAUGAACGCAGGGCUGCUGGAUUACAUGGUGGAUUUCGGGAAGAAGGAGGUGACGGUGAGGGGCACCGUAAUUCACACCAAGAAGAAGAAGAGGAAGAAGCAGCAGCAGUACAUGAUCACUGGGCUGGAGAAGGUGCCGCCUGCUAACAUGGGCGCCAGGACGCUCUCCUGGUUUUUGGGAUGCUACGGUUCAUAG